ensembl:lncRNA
CGGGGUGAAGCUGGCGGCCGCCAUUUUGAGAAAGGGCACAGCAGAUCCGAACCGGUGGGGAGGUGCGCUGCCGUGCUGGAGGGCGGCGCUGAAGAGCGGGUGAAGCCAUUGAGGAGCCACGUUGGGUGUGGGAAUGUUGCUGGGUAGAGGCGGCGUGUUUGUAUCGCGGACGGACGGAGCUUCUCUGUAGAAAAAACGCUUGCUACAGCGUGAGCGCUGCUGGCGAUAUUUAUGACAAAGCGACCUCUUACAGGAUCCACAUCCGGGGAAUGACGUUUUUCAGUACAUCUUUCCAGGCCUGAAUCCCUCGUCCUCUAGGCACUGAUACAAGAUGUAGAGAUACUGCUAAGCUUGCUAAUGCUCGUGGAUGGGCAGUCCUGUAGUCUGCUUAGAAAGCAGGAGGAGUCCUGUGACACAUAGUGAUACGGUCUGGAUUACCAAUUGGGAUCAAUAUGUAAGCUUAAGGACCAGUAUAUGGAUUUAGUGAAUGGAUGAUGUACUGACCCCUGGAUACCAGGUGGAUAAGGAGGUUUGGUUGAGUCAGCCAGCUUUGUGGAUGCAAGUACUGUGCCAUCAAGGCACAGAGCUGACUGAGCAUGAGUGGAGACUGGGUCCAACCAGCGGUCUCAGUGAGGAAGACAGCUGACUUCAUCCAGAGGGUCUCAGGACCACUGCCACAAAGAGAUGGAGCGUGUGCAAGGAGGCGGAAGCCAAUGAGCCUAAAAAUGUUGGCUUUCAAAACUCAUGCUUCCAUCCUCUGCUGUGCUGAAUGCCCCUCCUUUCACUGUAAAGAAUAACAUCCUUGGAGUCUGUCUUGGUGGAAAGGAUAGUUGGACUACAAAGAACUUUAUUCUGGGUUAGGAAUCUCAAUCUGGCUUUUUACCUGUAAAUUCAGAUUUUUUUUUUUUCUUUACAUCUUUGUCCACAAUGUAAGUAUAUCUGAUCUGAACCUUCUGUAAACUGAAAUACAACGGAUAAAAUUACUGAGGACUUAAAAUAUUCAUUAUUUCUUUCGUAGAAUGUUUUCCGCUGUUGAUGCUUUUUGGUUUCAGCUGUUCCUUCUUAGUUGAACAGUAAUCUACGCCAACCCAAAAAACAGUUCUAUGACUAAUUUGAAUUAUAGCAUCUAUAGAAAUCUCAAAUAAAAAAAAAGAAAAAAAGAAAAAAAAUCUGCUAUAAUCAGAAAUUGAAUUGUUCCAUUCUGAUGCAGACAAGAGUUGCUGUUUUGCGUGUAACUUUACUUCCAGAAACAUACAGAAUGCAUCAACUCCCCUCUUGCUUCCUUUGAUUCUUCAGUCCCCUUAUCAGCUGUUCAGUGAAGACCUUGUGAAAUACAUCAAUUACAUUUCUCCAUUUCUAACAAUGAUAAAAGUAGCUUUUUCUUCUGUGACCUGCAGGAACCCCUCAACUGCCCACCAGACACUGUUCUUAGUAGAUGCCAUGUUAGGAAAAGGCAGGUGCUGAUGAGGUGGAAAAGUGGAAAAAUAACCCCGAAAAUGAGAGAAAAAACUCUAGAAAAGGGGGAAUCUCCCUCCCGGAAAAUCAGAAACGGAACAGAACCCGGCGUGCCCCCACUCCACGCGUUUCCAGCCAAUCGUCCUCUGGCUCCGCAGGAAGUUUUCCUUUCCCUCUGCAAUUCCUUGCGGCAGCGCCCAGCCCCGUUUUGGAUUCGCUUUCCUUCUUUUCGCUGUUACCGAGGUCGGCUGAAUCCCCGCUCCAAGCACCCACAGUGAUGGACCCAUAGGUCCCCAGCCUCCAAUUUAACGAUAUUUUCUCUAUUUUGUGAAAAUUUGGCUCAAAAUAAGCCGUUUUAGUAAUCUGUUUUAAUACCUGUUAUUAUAUAUUUUCUGCUAUAGCAGUAAUUGCUGCUAACUGCACUAAUUUGUUGGAGUUGGGGUUUUCUGUGCAAUCCAGCCUGAAAGCAACGACCUUGGGACCAGCAGAUUGUCGCCCCGCUGCCACCACCCAUGUGGACGCAGGAUGUCAGCAGGGCCAUCGGCCCCUCUGAGGUGUCCCCAGAGCUGCUGCAGCCCCUGGUGACUGUGGUGGCCACCUUGGGCAAGUUGGGGACCAUCCCUGGUGACAUCUCCCUGGGAGGGGACAUGGGCUCACUGCGGGCCAGGCUACUGACCUUCAGCUCUGGCGUGCGCAAAGCCAUGGUGCACCCAGAUGGCGAUGCCACCCUCCUCCGGCGUGCCCUGGGGGCAUCCAAGGAACAGCCCAGUGCCCCCACAGCCAUCACUGACUCGUGGCAGAACGCGGUGACUGCAGUGAAGGACAUCUGGGCCAAGCUGCAGGAGGAUGCUGCAUGCCUGAAGAAUGCCUGUGAGACUGUGGCCACUGCCAAGGCCACCAAUGAGGCCACCAAGGGCCACUUGGUGGAAGCAGUGACACGGGAGGACAAAGCACAUAAAGGGUUGAUAGCUGCCACCAGGGUGGUGCCGUUGUCCUCAGAGGUGGCCCAGGUGACAGAGGUGGUGGCAGCCCAUGAUGCGCGGGUGGCAGAGGCCAGGGAAGGGCUGCAGGCAGCCGCCAAGGCCACUGAGGAGGUGGCAGCGGCAGUGGUGGCAGCAAUAGCAGCGAAGGAGAGGGGACAACAUGCAGCAGUGGCCCAUGGGCUCCUGGAGCAGUUGGUAGCCGCCUGUAUGGGGGCCUAUAACUACUACAGUCAUGUGGAGCAUUGCCUCAGGGACAUCAAGGCCAUGGUGGGUGUCACUACUGGAGGUGGUGGCCCUGAUGUCCCCAAGGCCACCCAAGGGGACAUGGGUAUCCCCAAGGAGCUAGCAGAGAUAGUGGUGGUGGCUGAGGCGCUGUGGGACGCCAGUGCCCGCCUGGCCCAGGAGCACCUCUUGGGGACACUGCGGGGUGUUCGGAGCCUGCUGGCCACCUCCAGUGUCACUGAGGCCACCAAAGUCACCCAGCGCUGCCAAGAGGCCACCAACGCCCUCCCUGGGCUGCUGCCACCGGGGCUGUGCUAGGGGACAAACACGUCCAUCAGGGACCGGUGGUAUCAACAACACCAUGAGAUCAUGGAGACAGCAGAUGGGGCCGUUAGGACCACCAUUCCAACCACCAAUGGAGUGAGGGCUGUCAUGAAAUAUCACCUCAGUGUCACCUCCGUGCAUCCCCUCAACACCUCCAGGGAUGCCAGCACUUCCUGGUAAAAAAUGGGAAAACAGUUUUGUUUUAUAAAAAUUAUUUUGUUUUAAAAAAAUGGUUUUGCUUUAUAAAAAUGUUAUCACCUGACAAGGUUCUGGCUCCGUGUCACUUUAUCCCUAACAUGUCAGCAGGAUCCUCACACAUCUCCUCCUGUGUCCCCUUCUCAUGUUUAUCCUCCUAUUCCUGUCCAGGUCCCUAUGUAUCACCUUCUCAUGUGCCCCUUUCACAUCCCUUCUAUGUCCCUAUAUGUCACUUCUGCUGUGUCCCUUCCAUGUUGCCGUUAAAACCAAAAGUGAUAGUCCUAUCACUGUCAACCCUCGUAAACAGUCAUUCCCCCUCCUGUUUAUACGCUCCCUUCAAGUACUGGAAGGCCACAAUGAGGUCUCCCUGGAGCCUUCUCUUCUCCAAGCUAAACAAGCCCAGUUCCCUCAACCUUUCUUCAUUGGAGAGGUGUACCAGCCCUCUGAUUAUCUUAGUGGCCCUCCUGUGGGCCUGCUUCAAGAGCUCCAGGUUGCAGUCAAGUGAUAAAAAUAUGUAUAAAAGAUGCAUUGCAAAACUCCUG